UACGUAGGGUGCAAGCGUUAAUCGGAAUUACUGGGCGUAAAGCGUGCGCAGGCGGUCCGUUAAGACAGAUGUGAAAUCCCCGGGCUUAACCUGGGAACUGCAUUUGUGACUGGCGGACUCGAGUAUGGCAGAGGGGGGUAGAAUUCCACGUGUAGCAGUGAAAUGCGUAGAGAUGUGGAGGAAUACCGAUGGCGAAGGCAGCCCCCUGGGCUAACACUGACGCUCAGGCACGAAAGCGUGGGGAGCAAACAGG
rnacentral:rRNA from 1 species